rnacentral:rRNA from 1 species
AACGGCCGUACCAUGCUGAAUAUACCGGUUCUCGUUAGAUCACCGAAGUCAAGCAUCAUUGGGCGCGGUCAGUACUUGUGUGGGUGACCACCUGGGAACACUGCGUGCCGUU